rnacentral:rRNA from 1 species
GACGAACGCUGGCGGCGUGCCUAAUACAUGCAAGUAGAACGCUGAAGAGAGGAGCUUGCUCUUCUUGGAUGAGUUGCGAACGGGUGAGUAACGCGUAGGUAACCUGCCUUGUAGCGGGGGAUAACUAUUGGAAACGAUAGCUAAUACCGCAUAACAAUGGAUGACACAUGUCAUUUAUUUGAAAGGGGCAAUUGUUCCACUACAAGAUGGACCUGCGUUGUAUUAGCUAGUAGGUGAGGUAAUGGCUCACCUAGGCGACGAUACAUAGCCGACCUGAGAGGGUGAUCGGCCACACUGGGACUGAGACACGGCCCAGACUCCUACGGGAGGCAGCAGUAGGGAAUCUUCGGCAAUGGGGGCAACCCUGACCGAGCAACGCCGCGUGAGUGAAGAAGGUUUUCGGAUCGUAAAGCUCUGUUGUAAGUCAAGAACGGGUGUGAGAGUGGAAAGUUCACACUGUGACGGUAGCUUACCAGAAAGGGACGGCUAACUACGUGCCAGCAGCCGCGGUAAUACGUAGGUCCCGAGCGUUGUCCGGAUUUAUUGGGCGUAAAGCGAGCGCAGGCGGUUUGAUAAGUCUGAAGUUAAAGGCUGUGGCUCAACCAUAGUUCGCUUUGGAAACUGUCAAACUUGAGUGCAGAAGGGGAGAGUGGAAUUCCAUGUGUAGCGGUGAAAUGCGUAGAUAUAUGGAGGAACACCGGUGGCGAAAGCGGCUCUCUGGUCUGUAACUGACGCUGAGGCUCGAAAGCGUGGGGAGCGAACAGGAUUAGAUACCCUGGUAGUCCACGCCGUAAACGAUGAGUGCUAGGUGUUGGAUCCUUUCCGGGAUUCAGUGCCGCAGCUAACGCAUUAAGCACUCCGCCUGGGGAGUACGACCGCAAGGUUGAAACUCAAAGGAAUUGACGGGGGCCCGCACAAGCGGUGGAGCAUGUGGUUUAAUUCGAAGCAACGCGAAGAACCUUACCAGGUCUUGACAUCCCGAUGCUAUUUCUAGAGAUAGAAAGUUACUUCGGUACAUCGGUGACAGGUGGUGCAUGGUUGUCGUCAGCUCGUGUCGUGAGAUGUUGGGUUAAGUCCCGCAACGAGCGCAACCCCUAUUGUUAGUUGCCAUCAUUCAGUUGGGCACUCUAGCGAGACUGCCGGUAAUAAACCGGAGGAAGGUGGGGAUGACGUCAAAUCAUCAUGCCCCUUAUGACCUGGGCUACACACGUGCUACAAUGGUUGGUACAACGAGUUGCGAGUCGGUGACGGCGAGCUAAUCUCUUAAAGCCAAUCUCAGUUCGGAUUGUAGGCUGCAACUCGCCUACAUGAAGUCGGAAUCGCUAGUAAUCGCGGAUCAGCACGCCGCGGUGAAUAAGUUCCCGGGCCU